GAAGGUAAAAAAAAAGAGGGAGGUCUGAGAAAUAGAAAUAUCAGAGGAAGGAAAUAAAGGAGGGUGAGAGUAAAUUCUCUUUUAGCAUUCAGAUUCCACAGAUUCCACAAAUCACAUUUCUUUUUUUACCAACUAAGGAAAAAUAACACUUGACCUAACAUUUCAUUGCAGUUAGCUAAAGGAUGCUAGAAAAACUAUGUUUCAGUGGUUUGCUCUAAUUUCUUCAGGAAUAGAGAAAAGUGACAAAAAGAUCAGAGAAGAGAAGAAAGGAAACUAUCAGAAAAAUACAGAAUUGGAGUAGGAUAUAACAUAUUUGGGUUGAAGGUAAAAUUUUAUAUUGUAAUCUUAAGUAUCUUGCUACUUCAGUUUGGUCCCUGGAACAGCAGCAUCAGAAUCUGCCGAGGGCUUGUUAAAAAGGCAGAAUCUCAGGUCCCAUCCCAGACUCACUGAAUCAGAAUAUAAAUACUGACAAGAUGCCCCGGGAUUCAUAUGCACAGUAGAGCUGGCGAAGUUCCAUUGUAGCCUGUGAUUGUUUUCUGCAACUUAGUAUUUCUGAGUUUUCCCAAGGAAGAAAAUCCAGGCCUUAGCUUCUGGCAGACUUGUGUUUCUCCUUUACUUACUAGCUGCAUGACUCAUGAGCAAGGAAAUCAAACUUUAUGUGCCUGAGUUUCCUCAUCUAUAAAAUGGAGACUAUAAUAAUCAUCUCCUAGGCUUGUUUUGAGGAUGUUCAAUAAAUGCUGCUUUCACUCCUCUAUUUACAGACCUGCCGCAGACAAUUCUGCUAGCAGCCUUUGUGCUAUUAUCUGUUUUCUAAACUUAGUAAUUGAGUGUGAUCUGGAGACUAAACUCUGAAAUAAAUAAGCUGAUUAUUUAUUUAUUUUCUCAAAACAACAGAAUACGAUUUAGCAAAUUACUUCUUAAGAUACUAUUUUACAUUUCUAUAUUCUCCUACCCUGAGUUGAUGUGUGAGCCGUAUGUCACUUUCAUAAAGCCAGGUAUACAUUAUGGACAGGUAAGUAAAAAACAUAUUAUUUAUUCUACGUUUUUGUCCAAGAAUUUUAAAUUUCAACUGUUGCGCGUGUGUUGGUAAUGUAAAACAAACUCAGUACAGUAGUAUUCAGUACAGUAUUUAAGCCCCUGUACUUAAACAUAUUCCUCGUACCAAUGAAGUUACAUGAAAAGCAAAUUUGUGUGAGAUAUCGUAGAUGGAAGUAAAUUAGUCUUUAUGUUCCCCACAAAUUGAAAUGCAUUUCAAAAACUCUGUGUGUGUAUGUGUGUGUGUGACAGAGUGUGUGUGAGAGAGAGACAGAGAUACGCUUUGGUUGCCUCCAUAAGCUGGCUGCUAUGAUUAAUAAGACCAAGUUUUCUAAAGAAAAUGAGAUCAUAACAAAAGCCCUCUUUAUGCCUAUCUUUUAUCAGGGGCAAAAAGGAAAGAGACAAAACAGCAUGAAAUGAUGAGACCAAGUGAUGAAAAUUCAUUCACAAUGAUUGCUUUCAAGAGUAAUUUCUCUUGGGUAAUUCAGCAGCCUGUUACUAUGGCUCUCUGGAGUGAUAACUAAUGUAAAUGAAGCCUCUAAAAGUGGAUUAUCCUGACAAGAAUAUACUCAGCCAAUAAUGCAACAGAAAUCCAUUCAAAGCAUUCGGGAAAAAUUCAAAAGAAUAAAUAUUCUUUUUUUUUUUUUUAAAGUUAAUGACCUACGAUCCAUUUCUUCCCUGACUAACAAGCAGCAAGCACUUAAAAAUAUCCAGCCAGGAUGAAAUAGAAACCCACCUGACUUGUUAAUAUUUUUGUUUGGUCCCAGGGACUCAGAUUCUAAGCCAAAUUCUUUGAAUGAUCUUGGCAAAUGUCUCGAAUUAUUUUUGCCAACUUUUCUUUAUCUUGGAAAAAAAGUUUCAUGAAUGGGUGUCAAAAUUGAUUAGUUUUAAAAACCUUUCUUGCAGAUACAUAUGGCACCCUAAAACUGUAUUAGAAAAAAAGUAAGUACUCUGUAGUGUGAAAAAUUCUUAAAGGACACCCUCUUUUACAAACUCACAAAAACAGCCUUUGGAAUACCCACAUGAAGUAGCUGUUGUUAUUGCUUUCUAUAUACCUACAUCUUGUCUAUUAUAAAAAGACUGGUUUUUGGCAGGUGUGGUGGCUCACACCUGUAAUUCCAGCACUUUGGGAGGCCAAGGCGGGCGGAUCACCUGAGAUCAGGAGUUCAGGACCAGCCUGAUCAAUAUGGUGAAACCCAGUCUUUACUAAAAAUACAAAAAUCACCCGGGUGUGGUGACGGGCACCUGUAGUCCCAGCUACUCGGGUAGCUGAGGCAGGAGAAUCACUUGAACUCAGGAGUCAGAGGUUGCAGUGAGCUGAGAUCAUGCCACUGCACUCCAGCCUGGGUGACAGAGCAAGACUCCAUCUCAAAAAAAAAAAACCAAAAAAAAAAAAA
rnacentral:sRNA from 1 species